UGGGGAAUAUUGCACAAUGGGCGAAAGCCUGAUGCAGCAACGCCGCGUGAGUGAUGAAGGUCUUCGGAUUGUAAAGCUCUGUCUUUUGGGACGAUAAUGACGGUACCAAAGGAGGAAGCCACGGCUAACUACGUGCCAGCAGCCGCGGUAAUACGUAGGUGGCGAGCGUUGUCCGGAUUUACUGGGCGUAAAGGGUGCGUAGGCGGAUGUUUAAGUGAGAUGUGAAAUACCCGGGCUUAACUUGGGUGCUGCAUUUCAAACUGGAUAUCUAGAGUGCAGGAGAGGAGAAUGGAAUUCCUAGUGUAGCGGUGAAAUGCGUAGAGAUUAGGAAGAACACCAGUGGCGAAGGCGAUUCUCUGGACUGUAACUGACGCUGAGGCACGAAAGCGUGGGUAGCAAACAGGAUUAGAUACCCUGGUAGUCCACGCCGUAAACGAUGAGUACUAGGUGUAGGAGGUAUCGACCCCUUCUGUGCCGCAGUAAACACAUUAAGU
rnacentral:rRNA from 1 species